UGCAAGUCGAGGGGCAGCGCGGGAUAGCAAUAUCCUGGCGGCGACCGGCGGAAGGGUGCGUAACGCGUGAGCGACAUGCCCGUUGCCCGGGGACAACCGGUGGAAACGCCGACUAAUCCCCGAUGGGAUAUUGUGCCGCAUGGCACGAUAUUGAAAGUUACGGCGGCGACGGAUUGGCUCGCGUCCGAUUAGCUUGUUGGCGGGGUAACGGCCCACCAAGGCUACGAUCGGUAGGGGUUCUGAGAGGAAGGCCCCCCACAAUGGGACUGAGACACGGCCCAUACUCCUACGGGAGGCAGCAGUGAGGAAUAUUGGUCAAUGGGCGGAAGCCUGAACCAGCCAUGCCGCGUGCGGGAAGGAGGCCCUAUGGGCUGUGAACCGCUUUUGCCUGGGGGCAAUAAGGGCGUCGCGCACGCCCGAUGAGAGUACCAGGCGAAUAAGCAUCGGCUAACUCCGUGCCAGCAGCCGCGGUAAUACGGGGGAUGCGAGCGUUAUCCGGAUUCAUUGGGUUUAAAGGGUGCGUAGGCUGUGCGUCAAGUCGGGGGUGAAAUUCCGGUGCUCAACACCGGGGCUGCCCUUGAUACUGUCGCGCUGGAGUGCGGAUGUCGCCGGAGGAAUGAGUGGUGUAGCGGUGAAAUGCUUAGAUAUCACUCAGAACACCGAUUGCGAAGGCAUCUGG
rnacentral:rRNA from 1 species